AUCUUAUACUUCAAUCUAUGUAAUAUAUAGAAUGAAUUUAUCUGAUUUUUUUUAUUUAAGAGAAAGUUAGCAUGUUAUCCGUUUCGUUUAUUUCAUUUAGAAAUAAACUUAGCUGGAAAUGUGAAUCAACUAGGAUUCGAACUUGGGCCUCAGGUACCAACCAUCAAGUCCUUUUGCCACUUGCGCUAGGGACGGUCGACGAAUUUAUCUGAUUGAAAGUGUCUUUGUGAGUUUGAUUGUUUAAUUACAUAGGACGUAAAAGAAAUAAAAAGAAAGUUUUUUUUUUAAAUUUUGGUUAUAAGAUAUGAAAAUUAGAUUUUAAAUGAAUAUUACACGUCAAAAAAAAAUUGUCGAGGGUCAGCAAAGUGUGUUGU
rnacentral:lncRNA from 1 species